CCUACGGGGGGCAGCAGUAGGGAAUAUUGCACAAUGGGGGAAACCCUGAUGCAGCAACGCCGCGUGAGCGAUGAAGGCCUUCGGGUCGUAAAGCUCUGUCCUAAGGGAAGAAUACUGACGGUACCUUAGGAGGAAGCCCCGGCUAACUACGGACCAGCAGCCGCGGUAAUACGUAGGGGGCUAGCGUUAUCCGGAAUUACUGGGCGUAAAGGGUGCGUAGGCGGCGCUUCAAGUAAGAGGUGAAAGGUUAAGUCUCAACCGCAGUAAUCCUUUGAAACUUUAGGGCUUGAGUGCAGGAGCGGAGAGUGGCAUUCCCAGUGUGGCGGUGAAAUGCGUAGAUAUUGGGAGGAACACCAGUUGCGAAGGCGGCUCUCUGGACUGUAGCUGCCGCUGAGGCACGAAAGCGUGGGGAGCGAACAGGAUUAGAUACCCUUGUAGUC
rnacentral:rRNA from 1 species